UCCAUAGGUUAAUGAGGCGAACCGGGGGAACUGAAACAUCUAAGUACCCCGAGGAAAAGAAAUCAACCGAGAUUCCCCCAGUAGCGGCGAGCGAACGGGGAGCAGCCCAGAGCCUGAAUCAGUAUGUGUGUUAGUGGAAGCGUCUGGAAAGGCGCGCGAUACAGGGUGACAGCCCCGUACACAAAAAUGCACAUGCUGUGAGCUCGAUGAGUAGGGCGGGACACGUGGUAUCCUGUCUGAAUAUGGGGGGACCAUCCUCCAAGGCUAAAUACUCCUGACUGACCGAUAGUGAACCAGUACCGUGAGGGAAAGGCGAAAAGAACCCCGGCGAGGGGAGUGAAAAAGAACCUGAAACCGUGUACGUACAAGCAGUGGGAGCACGCUUAGGCGUGUGACUGCGUACCUUUUGUAUAAUGGGUCAGCGACUUAUAUUCUGUAGCAAGGUUAACCGAAUAGGGGAGCCGAAGGGAAACCGAGUCUUAACUGGGCGUUAAGUUGCAGGGUAUAGACCCGAAACCCGGUGAUCUAGCCAUGGGCAGGUUGAAGGUUGGGUAACACUAACUGGAGGACCGAACCGACUAAUGUUGAAAAAUUAGCGGAUGACUUGUGGCUGGGGGUGAAAGGCCAAUCAAACCGGGAGAUAGCUGGUUCUCCCCGAAAGCUAUUUAGGUAGCGCCUCGUGAAUUCAUCUCCGGGGGUAGAGCACUGUUUCGGCAAGGGGGUCAUCCCGACUUACCAACCCGAUGCAAACUGCGAAUACCGGAGAAUGUUAUCACGGGAGACACACGGCGGGUGCUAACGUCCGUCGUGAAGAGGGAAACAACCCAGACCGCCAGCUAAGGUCCCAAAGUCAUGGUUAAGUGGGAAACGAUGUGGGAAGGCCCAGACAGCCAGGAUGUUGGCUUAGAAGCAGCCAUCAUUUAAAGAAAGCGUAAUAGCUCACUGGUCGAGUCGGCCUGCGCGGAAGAUGUAACGGGGCUAAACCAUGCACCGAAGCUGCGGCAGCGACGCUGAUGCGUUGUUGGGUAGGGGAGCGUUCUGUAAGCCUGCGAAGGUGUGCUGUGAGGCAUGCUGGAGGUAUCAGAAGUGCGAAUGCUGACAUAAGUAACGAUAAAGCGGGUGAAAAGCCCGCUCGCCGGAAGACCAAGGGUUCCUGUCCAACGUUAAUCGGGGCAGGGUGAGUCGACCCCUAAGGCGAGGCCGAAAGGCGUAGUCGAUGGGAAACAGGUUAAUAUUCCUGUACUUGGUGUUACUGCGAAGGGGGGACGGAGAAGGCUAUGUUGGCCGGGCGACGGUUGUCCCGGUUUAAGCGUGUAGGCUGGUUUUCCAGGCAAAUCCGGAAAAUCAAGGCUGAGGCGUGAUGACGAGGCACUACGGUGCUGAAGCAACAAAUGCCCUGCUUCCAGGAAAAGCCUCUAAGCAUCAGGUAACAUCAAAUCGUACCCCAAACCGACACAGGUGGUCAGGUAGAGAAUACCAAGGCGCUUGAGAGAACUCGGGUGAAGGAACUAGGCAAAAUGGUGCCGUAACUUCGGGAGAAGGCACGCUGAUAUGUAGGUGAAGUCCCUCGCGGAUGGAGCUGAAAUCAGUCGAAGAUACCAGCUGGCUGCAACUGUUUAUUAAAAACACAGCACUGUGCAAACACGAAAGUGGACGUAUACGGUGUGACGCCUGCCCGGUGCCGGAAGGUUAAUUGAUGGGGUUAGCGCAAGCGAAGCUCUUGAUCGAAGCCCCGGUAAACGGCGGCCGUAACUAUAACGGUCCUAAGGUAGCGAAAUUCCUUGUCGGGUAAGUUCCGACCUGCACGAAUGGCGUAAUGAUGGCCAGGCUGUCUCCACCCGAGACUCAGUGAAAUUGAACUCGCUGUGAAGAUGCAGUGUACCCGCGGCAAGACGGAAAGACCCCGUGAACCUUUACUAUAGCUUGACACUGAACAUUGAGCCUUGAUGUGUAGGAUAGGUGGGAGGCUUUGAAGUGUGGACGCCAGUCUGCAUGGAGCCGACCUUGAAAUACCACCCUUUAAUGUUUGAUGUUCUAACGUUGACCCGUAAUCCGGGUUGCGGACAGUGUCUGGUGGGUAGUUUGACUGGGGCGGUCUCCUCCUAAAGAGUAACGGAGGAGCACGAAGGUUGGCUAAUCCUGGUCGGACAUCAGGAGGUUAGUGCAAUGGCAUAAGCCAGCUUGACUGCGAGCGUGACGGCGCGAGCAGGUGCGAAAGCAGGUCAUAGUGAUCCGGUGGUUCUGAAUGGAAGGGCCAUCGCUCAACGGAUAAAAGGUACUCCGGGGAUAACAGGCUGAUACCGCCCAAGAGUUCAUAUCGACGGCGGUGUUUGGCACCUCGAUGUCGGCUCAUCACAUCCUGGGGCUGAAGUAGGUCCCAAGGGUAUGGCUGUUCGCCAUUUAAAGUGGUACGCGAGCUGGGUUUAGAACGUCGUGAGACAGUUCGGUCCCUAUCUGCCGUGGGCGCUGGAGAACUGAGGGGGGCUGCUCCUAGUACGAGAGGACCGGAGUGGACGCAUCACUGGUGUUCGGGUUGUCAUGCCAAUGGCACUGCCCGGUAGCUAAAUGCGGAAGAGAUAAGUGCUGAAAGCAUCUAAGCACGAAACUUGCCCCGAGAUGAGUUCUCCCUGACUCCUUGAGAGUCCUGAAGGAACGUUGAAGACGACGACGUUGAUAGGCCGGGUGUGUAAGCGCAGCGAUGCGUUGAGCUAACCGGUACUAAUGAACCGUGAGGCUUAACCUUACAACGCCGAAG
rnacentral:rRNA from 1 species